GGGUCGAUGGUGUAGUUGGUUAUCACGCUCGCUUAGCACUCAACGAAGGCGUGCGAGAGGUGUUGGGUUCAAUUCCCAAUCGAUCCA